rnacentral:rRNA from 1 species
AACGUAGGAGACAAGCGUUAUCCGGAGUUACUGGGCGUAAAGGGCGUGUAGGCGGUUUCGUAAGUCUGGCGUGAAAUACCUCGGCUUAACCGAGGCAGGUCGUCGGAUACUGCGGAACUGGAGGACGGUAGAGGCGUGUGGAAUUCCGGGUGUAGUGGUGAAAUGCGUAGAUAUCGGAAGGAACAUCAGUGGCGAAAGCGGCUUCCUGGACCAAUACUGACGCUCAUGUGCGAAAGCGUGGGGAGCAAACAGG